rnacentral:rRNA from 1 species
AUACAUGAGCAAAAUCUCAACUUUAUUAGAAGAGACGCAUUUAUUAGAUAAAAAGCCAAUGCAUGCUUUUACAGUAUGAAAAUUGGUGAUUUAUAAUAACUUAGCAAAUCGCAAAGUGAAAACAGGCGAUAAAUCAUUCAAGUUUCUGACCUAUCAGCUUUCGACGGUAUGGUAUUGGCUUACCGUGGCAGUGACGGUUAACGGGGGAUUAGGGUUCGAUUCCGGAGAGGGAGCCUGAGAAACGGCUACCACAUCUAAGGAAGGCAGCAGGCGCGCAAAUUACCCAAUUCUAACAGUUUGAGAGAGGUAGUAACAAGAAAUAACAAUACAAGGCAGUUAAAAUGCUUUGUAAUUGGAAUGAUAGAAAUUUAAACCCUUUUUAAAGUAUCAAUUGGAGGGCAAGUCUGGUGCCAGCAGCCGCGGUAAUUCCAGCUCCAAUAGCGUAUAUUAAAAUUGUUGCAGUUAAAAAGCUCGUAGUUGAAGUUCUGCUAAAAGUAACCGGUCUGCUUUGAAUAAAAGUGGUAUCUUGGUAUGUAUUUAGCAAUGAUGUCCUUUGAAGUGUUUUUUACUUUAUUGUAAUAAAGCAUAUUCAGGACUUUUACUUGAGAAAAUAG